rnacentral:rRNA from 1 species
AGCUUGUUGGUGAGGUAACGGCCCACCAAGGCGAAGAUCGGUAGCUGGUCUGAGAGGAUGGUCAGCCACACUGGGACUGAGACACUGCCCAGACUCCUACGGGAGGCUGCAGUCGAGGAUCUUCCGCAAUGGGCGAAAGCCUGACGGAGCGAUGCCGCGUGAGGGAUGAAGGCCUUCGGGUUGUAAACCUCUGUCACCCGGGACGAAGAAUGUGACGGUACCGGGAGAGGAAGCCACGGCUAACUACGUGCCAGCAGCCGCGGUAAUACGUAGGUGGCGAGCGUUAUUCGGAUUCACUGGGCGUAAAGGGUCCGCAGGGGGUUUGCCAAGUCUGAUGUGAAAUACCGAGGCUCAACCUUGGAACGGCAUUGGAUACUGGUGAACUAGAGUGCACGAGGGGUGAGUGGAAUUCCUGGUGUAGCGGUGGAAUGCGUAGAUAUCAGGAAGAACACCGAUGGCGAAGGCGGCUCACUGGCGUGCAACUGACCCUCAGGGACGAAAGCGUGGGGAGCAAACAGGAUUAGAUACCCUGGUAGUCCACGCUGUAAACGGUGUGCACUAGAUGUGGGCGGAGUUUGAUCCCGUCCGUGUCUGGGCUAACGCGUUAAGUGCACCGCCUGGGGACUACGGCCGCAAGGCUAAAACUCAAAGGAAUUGACGGGGGCCCGCACAAGCGGUGGAGCAUGUGGCUCAAUUCGAGGCAACGCGAAGAACCUUACCUGGGCUUGACAUGUACCUGCCAACCGUGGAAACACGGUGUUCCUUCGGGACGGGUACACAGGUGCUGCAUGGCUGUCGUCAGCUCGUGUCGUGAGAUGUUCGGUUAAGUCCGGCAACGAGCGCAACCCGUGUCGUCAGUUGCCAACAGGUAAUACUGGGGACUCUGACGAGACUGCCCGUGUCAAGCGGGAGGAAGGCGCGGAUGACGUCAAGUCAGUAUGGCCCUUACGCCCAGGGCUGCACACGUGCUACAAUGGGCGGUACAGUGGGAUGCGAUACCGCGAGGUGGAGCAAAUCCUGAAAACCGCCCCCAGUUCAGAUUGAAGUCUGCAACUCGACUUCAUGAAGCCGGAAUCGCUAGUAAAGGCGUAUCAGCAACGGCGCCUUGAAUACGUUCCCGGGCCUUGUACACACCGCCCGUCACAUCAUGGGAGCUGGCUGCACCCGAAGUCACCGACCGAACCCGCAAGGGGCGGAGGUGCCGAAGGUGUGCCCAGUGACUGGGAUGAAGUCGUAACAAGGUAGCCGUAGGGGAACCUGCGGCUG